rnacentral:rRNA from 1 species
AUGACCAAGCAAUUCGCCGCUUGCAAGUGGGUUUCUUCCCGGAUCACAGAAACACAACUGAAUGGAUAUGUUCUGACUGGCGCUUUGGCCAAGAAAAAUGUCCUUCAUUGGCGAGUCCCUGGCCCUGAAUGCCCUCCUGAACCUCGAGAUGGAGAAGUGAUUGUGUUCAUGCAACAUCUAGACUGGGGAUUUAGCCCUCCCGGAUCAAAGUUUUUCUGGGAUGUACUUGCUAGCUUCCAACUCCAUCCACAAGAUAUUGGACCGAAUUCUGUGUCCAACAUAUGUAAUUUCCAAGUAUUCUGUGAAGUUUACCUCAAUGCCUCUGUUAGACACCAGAAAGCCUAA